GCACAUGGUCCAACUCGGCUACAACCUCCUCUACCGUGGGACGAAGACCGUGGCCUUGUGCGGCAUCGGCUACAAUCUCCUCUCAUGUGAAUUCAUCUCCUAGCUUCUAGCCCCCUCUCUUGUGCUGCUAUAGGAGUACCUUGCUCUGUUUCAUGUGCAUGGGUGAUUUUGUUUGUACUUUCCGUGCUUGUGUCAUGGAAAAGAUCAUUCCUAUUUACAAGUGAUGAUGAUUUGGAGUAGCACACUUGUUAAAUUCUGCUCUUGUAGUAGACCCCAUUUGUAUUUACUGUGAUGUGCAUUGACUCGGCCUCCUAGUACUGCAGAUCAUGCAUGUUAAUAAUUUAUAGUGGCCUUGUUAGUUACUACAGCUAGGCUGUGUUAACUGUUGGUGUUUAAUCUAGCUAGCUUGUUUGUACCAUCAGGAUUGCAGCAAAUUGCAGCUAGCUAGCCUGUUUGAAAUCUGUUUUUUUUUUUGCUUGGUAUGCUGCUGGCCUGAAUCUACUUACAUGCUUGAUUGAAUUUAACUUGGUGCUGAAACAAGCACCUGUAGUGACUGAAUCAAAUUACAAUUAUGUGUCGUGAAUGAUUGGCCUUAGAUGAGUACACGAAUCUUGCUUGGUCCUAAUAGGAGCAUGUUCCUCUUUGUGGUUCAGUUCUCUGGCUCGUUCAAACCGAGAGGACUGUGUUCUCAGAUUGUUUCUAGAAUUGCAACUGCUCAUUUUGUAUUAAUGCUAGGAUUUACGCACAAAUCUUGCUAUUUAUGAUGCAUGAUAUUAAUCUACCGAAAUGCUGCCAUGGCCAUGCUGCUAUGUUAACUUGAUGAUGUUAAUUCAUUGCUACCAUGCUGCUAUGUCGACAAAAAGUUAAUUUGCCCAUGCCCAUUGCCAUGCCUUCCUUUUGUUAACUUAAUUUCAGUUUACUUGAUCGUGCAGGUGGUCGUGCUGAAGGUGUCCCUGCACUACAAAGUGUGCACCGGCAAGGUGAAGAAGCACCUCGCCAAGAUGGAAGGUGAGCACCAACAUCUCUGAAAGUUUGGUGACAAAAUAAUGCAUCUUGAAUCCUGGGAAGACCAGUUACUUACUAAUAAUCUGUCAUUGAAGGAUAUGCUACAGCAAUGCAGCAAUUUGAAUUGAUAUUCACAUUGAAUUAAUGACUUGUCUUGUUGUAUGCAAUUGAAACAUACCCAUAUAAAAGAAGUCUGUUCCAUGUAGCAUUUUUACUGUUUUACUCAACUUGUUUUUGUUGUUACUUGAUACAUACUACCUCUGUCCCAUAAUAAACCAUCAAAUGUACUCCUGGGAGGGAUAAACAUCUUUUUUAGAACAUGGGUUGAAGCAGACUGUACUUGCUUACUGAGAAUAUGAAAAUGAGAUAUUCUGUUUGCUAAUAUGAAGAUAGCAUUGUGUUUAAUCCAGUACUGAUGAUUGUUUUCAUUCCCAUAAAAACUUGUUAAUGAUGGUGAUUUUGUACUAGCAUAUAAACUUGUUUUUGUUGUCACUUGAUACAUACUUACCUUGUACUUGAAGUUGUGGGUUAAUGCUGGUAAUUUUGUUCUACUUGUAUGCAUUGGUACCCCCAUCAUCGAGCGCACGGAUGCAAUAGUGGCAAGAAGAUCAUGGUCGUGUGCAUCAUCAAGCACACCAUGGCGAGCAUCCACCUCCUCACAGUGGCAAGAAGAGCAGGUGCCUAGUUUGUAAUCACUGUCGAAGGAGCUCCAUGCUGAAGAACAUAACACUUGUAGAGCUUGUAAAGUACCAUGUUAUUGAACUUGUGGAGCAUGUAACUGUGACUGCCAUACUGUUGUUACACUUGUAGAGCUUGCAAAGUGUAUGUUAGAGCUUAUUACGUGUUAUUUGUACAGCAGCAGCUCACUACUGAUUCUGGCUGAUAAUAUUUGAAGUUUUGUGUGUUUUCUGUGUGCCAAUUUAAAUAUUGUGUAUUUAUUUACGUUAAAUUGGAAAAUGAAG
rnacentral:lncRNA from 1 species